CAGGAACAUACAUGAUCAGAUGCAUUUUGUCAUAAUACAGUGAUUAAUCAAGCAAUCAACAAGCAUCUAUGAAGUUCUUAUUAUGUAUGAGGCCGUGUGCUAAGCACUGAUGAUACAAAUGCAAAGAUUGAUCUACUCUCAAGGAGUCUGCAUUCUAUCCAGAAAGAAAACGAUUGCUAUCAUCUUGAACUUGAAGUAUCUUUGUAUCUUCAACAAAAAGAUAAAAGAGACACUGAGGAAUUGUAGUCACUGCUCUUCAAGAUGACUGGCCAGGGGCCUGUAUUUUCUUUCAUAUAGGACAACAGCUGCACAGCACAACCUUGAUGCAACCUCAUAAGGGUAAAAUAAAAUGUAUUUGUGGUUGUUUUAGUCUUAGCAUUUCAAAUUUCCACACUCCCAUUUGACAAAUUUUCUCACUGCCAAAAUGCAUUCAACCCUGAAACUUCCAUAGCAGUUUGUAUGGGGGCACCCAUGAUACUUCAUGCUUGUCUAGGCCAUAAUUUAUACUUGAGCUAACUUGUUUGGGUAUUGUGU